UCAUGAAUGAUGAUAGAAGAUUAAUUUGAUCAGAUGUAAGGGUUGAUGUGAGAAGAGUAAUCACGAAUCCCAGCCCCUUCCCAUCCCAUCCAUUCUUCCCACAUGUCCCAAUCUGGAUCGCACAUCCCUCUCAUUGGCUCAUCUUCAUCGUUGUAAUCGUACGAUUCAUAUUGAUCAAUCGUGUUCGUCUCUUCUCCCCUCAAGUAACUCAUCACAACCUGUGGCAGAAACACAAACCAAACUCAUUGUUAAUCGAUCAAUCUUUAAUAAAAUUAAAGUUAUGAAUCUUUUAAUGAAGAUCGAAAACUUACAUCAUAGGCUUCGUUAAUUCGAUUGAAUUGAACGCCACAGUUGUUUCCUUUGCAGACAUCUGGAUGAUACUGAAAGAGAUUUUAAAAA